UACGUAGGGUGCGAGCGUUGUCCGGAAUUAUUGGGCGUAAAGAGCUCGUAGGCGGUUUGUCGCGUCGAAUGUGAAAACCCGGGGCUCAACCCCGGGCCUGCAUUCGAUACGGGCAGACUAGAGUUCGGUAGGGGAGUCUGGAAUUCCUGGUGUAGCGGUGAAAUGCGCAGAUAUCAGGAGGAACACCGGUGGCGAAGGCGGGACUCUGGGCCGAUACUGACGCUGAGGAGCGAAAGCGUGGGGAGCAAACAGGAUUAGAAACCCUGGGU
rnacentral:rRNA from 1 species